rnacentral:lncRNA from 1 species
GGCUUAAAAUCCACUUUAAUAAUGCAUUCCUGUAACAUUCCUCAGACAAACUCAAACUUGUUAGUGGGACAAUUACAGCUUGUGUUCAAACAGUUUACACUAAAUGAAAAAAUCUUGUAGUACUUCUACACAAAAGACAGGCAAGGUUAAGAUUAUACAAACAUUGGUUUCAGUUAAAUCUUCAGCAUGAGAUACAGUAUCUUUGUCCAAUAGAUUGUACUUUACUACCAGUAAAAAUAAACAGCGAUACAACACAUUAUCAAAAAAUUCAUCCCAACAGAUCCUCCCAGCCACUCAGGCCGCACGUGACAGUCAGCUACUUUAAAGAAACAGAUGGUCCAGGUAAAAAGAGUAACUACAAGUUAGGAGGAAAAAAAAAACAGAAAAAAUGAACAUAAAAAUCUCUCCAAUUCACUAUCAGAUGGACCAUUUGGAGCAAUAUAAAUGUACAGAAUCGCGGGAGCUGCAAAGUACCCAGAUGCUGCCCUAGUUCUCCGGAGACUCCUUCCCUGUGCUACACACUAAGAAAAUCCAAAAGAAUGCCAAGACUUACUGCAGUUGUAUCUGGUUCUGCCUCAGGACUCCGGCUGCAAACAGCACACCUGGAACGGUCAGUCAAGGCAUUGCGGUCCUCGCCAGAUCUCACCGUUAGAGAACAACCACGGCAGCCUCCCUGAAUCCAUUUUCACAUUGAAAUUAUAGGAAUGCACCACAUGAAAUUCUCUAUAAAAUGUUUAUCAGUCAGACUGCACUCCCCUCGUCCUAGAGUGGCUUAACCAAAGCAGGCCCUAAUCGACUAUUCUGAUACCCACCCCCUGAGUAGAACCCUGUACGGCCUGCCAAGAUUCCUUUCCUCUUUGGGGCAAGUGCAGGGGGCAGCUUAAUCCUGUUAGUAUCUGCGACGUUUGUUAGGGCCAAAUUCACCCCCUGGAUUUCCUCUGUUGAAGGCAGGAGGGUUCCCUCCCAUCGCUCCCAGGCCUUCCAUCGCGCUGCCCUGCCCAAAGCGAUCCGCAGGCGGUGGUGGAGUCAUUCCCAUGGCUCCAUCGGGUAUCAUAGCUCCAGGACCAGCUGCAGGAGGCGCAGCAGCGGGGACGUUGGUACCACCCAUAGCUCCUCUAUUGUUCAUGCCAAUGGUACCUCCCAUACCCAUCUGUCCCAUUCGCAUGUCUGGUGGCUCCCUCGCAUCAGCAAAGUUCCCCUUGAAGCCUUCCUGCUGGCGUCUCAUCAUCUCUUCCUGCUGCCUUCUCAUUUCUUCCUCACGGCGCCUGCGUUCUUCCUCUUGCCUGAUUUCCAACUGUUUACGUUUUUGUACUUCCUGGUUAUGCAAUUCCUCCAUCCUCCUCAGUUCUUCCUGGCGUCUCAUUAAAUCUUGCCUCAUGAGCAUAACUUGGUGCUCAUGGCGAGCUGCUUCCAUUUCCAUUUCCAGCUUCUCUCGAGCUUCCUUGAUGUUACGGUCUACCUGUUCUUGCUGCUGCUUCUCCAUUUCUAUUAGAGCCUUCCAACGCAUGGCAUACUCAUACUCAAAGCUGCCAGGCUGUGCAAAUCGAGGAGGUUGCUCACGCUCCUUGUGAUAUUGCUGGUUUUUGAUGACAAGUUUUUCUGGUAGUCCCUCUUCAUCAUCAUAUUGAUCCAUGGGCUCCACAGUCACAGGCCGAGGGAAUGUCGUCAGCAGGAAAGAGCCAUCGCUACAUCUGUCCAGGGCUUUCCUAGCAGCAGGCUUCCCUGAGAACUCCACAAUGCCUUUUCCAGAGGAUCGCCCUCUGUCAUCCACAAUCACCACAGCCCUUUCCACCUGGCCAAACACCGAGAAGGCUUCCUCCAGGAGCUCAUUGGACACGAACUGAGGCAGGUUCCUGACUGUCAGCGAUGCGCUGUGGCACGCAAAACGCACUCUGAGCUGCUUCCCACGGAGAGGCAUGUUGUCUAGUUCCACUUUUGCAAUCUCUGCCAGAGUGCGAGUUUCCAGCCUGAUAAAGCCAAAGCCUUUGUCCUUGUGUAUGAAGACUUCACCUGCCUUGCCAUACUUCUCAAACAACUUUCUCAUCUCUUCCUCUGUAAUAUCUGGGGGCAGAUUCCCCACAAAGAGGCGGCUUCUUUGGGUGAAGGUUUUUUCCCCAGGUUUCCGGAAAUUCUUCAGGUCGAUGGUCAGGCCUUCAUCUGAGGGGAAUAAGGUACACAGCUGCUUCUGGCUGUUGGCCUGCUGCCCGUUGGCGGGGAUGGAGGGCGGCGGGUGCUGCUGGUGUUGGUGCUGGUGCUGCUUCCGCGGCGCGUGGUUCUGUUUCUCCAUGUUGAAGCCCUUGUUGCCCUGCAUCUUCCCCACCUGGGGGCGGACGGCGGCGUCGAGGCGAAUCGCGGCCCCUUCGGCCCGCAGCGGCCCUGAGAGGAGCGCGCGCGCGGCCGGAACUCGCGCAACC